AUGCAUUUUACUCAUUUCUUGACAAGGGCUGUAUGGUUCUCUUCCAUCCGCAGUACUGGCUCUGUCCACAAGAGGGCAACAGAGUCCUUUAGAGCCUUUCUUCUCAAAACUUCGGGAGAUGCCUCUUUGAAGUCUUACAGAAUAGCCUCUCUUGGCUCCCAGCUUGUUUAUAGGGCUGUAUGGUUCUCUUCCAUCCGCAGUACUGGCUCUGUCCACAAGAGGGCAACAGAGUCCUUUAGAGCCUUUCUUCUCAAAACUUCGGGAGAUGCCUCUUUGAAGUCUUACAGAAUAGCCUCUCUUGGCUCCCAGCUUGUUUAUAGGUCUGUGUGUUUAAGACAUUUUCCCUUCUUGCCAAGUCGAGUGAUUGCUCAGCCUUCAGGAUGCAAACAAAGACUGAUGCGUGGGUCAGAGGUCCUCGUGGGUCAGGCAUCUUUAAACAACGGUGGCCUGAGAUGGAGAGCUUAGGACCUCCCCUUGGGCGCUCUACUGUGCAGAGCAGGGAGGCGGCCCUCCUUACUUCUUUCUCACACACCCCACCAUCGCUGCGGGAGGAUCCCAUCCGAGAGGGACAAGCAGCAGGGCUGACUCUGGAGUAGGACGGAGGAAAUGCUUCUCCCCUCUGCUCCAGGGCAGGUCUGGUAUGCCAGGGAGCAAGUCCUGACCCGCGGGAGGUCCCCAGCAGCAGCCACUUCUCCAGGUUGGAAUUCAGUCUCCGUUCCGUCUCUGUCCAGGACUUGUCCUGCCGCUCCUGACCCUCAUCAGCGCUCUGACCACGAGGUUUGUCCUCACCACAUCUUCCUCACAGCCCGUCAUGACUGAGGGCAAACACUCAGCGUCAAACAGCACCACUGUUUACCCCGUCGAGGCAGGAGGCAUCUGCACCCGGAAUGGCCUUCUCACCCGAUCUCUGCCUGGCUCCUUCCCCACCUCCCACCCCACCCCCACCCCCUCUGACCCACUCCCACACUUGACAAAACGUGAGCGAAACUGAAGCUGUGAUUGGUUUAGGUAACAGGUGGCCAGGUGUAACUUGUUGGUUUUUAUUUUUGGUUUCCCCAACAGUACUGAAAUCACUUGCACUUUUCCUCGUUUCUUAAAGAAAAGAAAACCCAGUUUGCUUGCCAGGAAUUGUUUAGCGUUAGGUUUACAAAGCUUGUUGUUGAAUGUUGAACAUUUGUCCAAAGGAGUUUGACAAAACAGAAGCUGCUUGGUCCCUGUUCCGCCUGCUAGGUCGCAAGGAUUCAGGCCAUGCGGCUGGGGUACUUGUGUCAAGUCCAGAAGGGGGCAGUGUCCCUCUCCUACCUCUGCGAAGACGCCAUUGAAGGUCAAGUUGGACUCGCGUAGGGCAGGUAUCUCUCUUGCUGCAAAGUGUAGAGGAGCCUUUCAGUUGGGGAGGUGACAGGGAGGUAAGACAGGAUCUCUUCAGAUGGCGAAGAUGCUGGGGAGAGGAGAACUCUUGGCCCCAGGGAGCUGUGGCCAGGCAGACCCAGGCUCCCCCCUGCAUCUCCCAGUUAGCCUAGCUUCCCGGAGUCAUCUCUUUCCAGCAUCCUGUCAGAUCCCUCAACGUACUGAUUUCUCCCCCCUCGUGUUAACUAUACCAAUAUUAUUUUUUUAACAAUUGAAAUGCACUUUUUUAUUUCAACUCAAUCAUGAUUUUAAGUAUAAAAAAUUUAUAGACUGUUAAAACUACUUUUUUUGUGUAUUUUUAACCACUCGAUGUAGCAUUGUCUGUUUUAUUCUUGUGAGACUCUGGUACAAGGUGUGCCACUUCCUAUUUCCGACGUGCUGGGCCUUUGGAUGUGUACGGUAACAAACUUAAUGCUAAUGUUCAAAGUAAAAAAAAAAAAAAGCAGCCCCAUCUGUCGUGUGUCUUUCUUACCUUCCUCUCUUCCUCACCCUCUGUGAGCACCAUUUUGAGGUCUCCUUGCUCAGUGAAUGGUCCUUGUUUUCUGCGAGAUGAGCCGUCCUGAUCUGCUCUCAUCUGUGGCCUUUAGUCCUGCGCAGCUCACUAACCCGACGGCCUCCGUCUGCAGGAUGACACGUUUUCAGGGCUGCCGGCCACAGAAUGUGGGGAGUUCUCGUCCGCUGGGGCUGCCCGCCCGCCCACUCUGACCAGGCGAGCGGCCUUCUGAACAUAUCCUAGAAAACAGUGUUUGAGAAAAGGAUCACGACUGAGGUCUGAAGCCCGGAAGCCCGGACGGACACAGCUUACCAGAGUCCCGGCCCCGAAAAGCACGGAUCGUAAAGUAGGGCCCUCGGGCCGAGGCCCCUCUUCCUGCGCCCCCCCCCCGCCCCGUUCACUCCCUCCCUCAGCGGUCGAGUCCAGAAUGUUCACGGAAUGCCUCGUAUGCACUGGGCGCUCCUCCAGCCGCUGGGAAUUCACGCGGUGAACAAGACCAUGGAGCUUCUGUCCCGAGUAGAGGAAACUCAACAAUAAACAAAUACGAUGUGAUACAACGUCAGGUGGGGAGAGGCUGGUCCAACUGCAGGAUCGGCUGUUCACAAGCCUUUCCAGCGAGGGAGUGAAGGCAGUGGGAAAGAAGUCCUACUGUUCAAGUUCCCUUUGGGUAAGGCCUCUUAGAGGGGAACGAGACCGUCCAGAUCAUAGGACUACCACUCUUGCUCUUUAACACAGAGGUUAGCACCCUGUGUCCCAGCCUUUUUUUCCACGGAGAGAGAGUAGAUACCCACCCCCACCUCAAUAGAGACUAAAUCAGUGGCUUUCAAACUUUGUGACCCGUGGUAAGAAAUGGAUCUUCUCAUGACUCAGCUAAUCCAAG
ensembl:lncRNA